UGGGAUUUAAUGUUUGCCCUGCCGGACUUUGGACCUCCUUUGGUCCCCUUCCUUUGUGUCCUCCUGUUUGUACCUUUUGGAAUGGGAAUGUCUGUCUUGCGCCAUUGAAUGUUGGAAGUGUUUGACUUUCUUUGCAUUUGCAUAGGGGCUUGCAGCUAAGAGUUGGCCUUAAAUCUCAGAGACUUGGGACUUUGCAGCAACGCUGAAAAUGUCAGGACUUUGGGAACUCUUAGAGACGGACUAAAUGCCUUUUGCAUAAAGAGGGCGCCGGAGGCCCCAGGGGCGGCGGGGAGGCCGGGUGCGUGCCGGACGGGCCGCGAGCCCCGGCCGCGUCCCCUCUGGGCGGAAGCCGAAAGCGGGGUGCCUUGUGGCCGCCUCGCCCUCCCCUGCUCCUCAUCCCGCACCCCUCGACCCGGCCGGCCGCGGGGGCCAGGCGAGUGCUGACUGCCCAGUCCGUUCCCGCGAAGGGCCGCGUCUGAGCCGCUGGGAGCCGAGGACCACGGAGACGCGGCGGGACCGAGCACCCGCCCACACCGAGGGCCGGGAGCGCACGGACCGCGGCGCCCAAGCGGUUAAUAAGGAACUUAGUGACGUGGGCCGCGAGCCGCCAGCACGGUGUUCUGCAGGCCCAGCUGGGGAUGCCACGGGAAUGGGACCUGAUGACAGUCCCUAUCAAGAGUGUGACGCUGGGAUGAAGCGGUGUGGAUGCUGCACCACGCUGACUGGCCUGGCAGAAGGACGCUCUGAAGGGCCCCUUGCUGCUUUUGCUGCCAUUUGGGUGCCAUGAGCUGCUUCUGCUCUGCGAUGCCCCGGGGCCAGCAGACCAUGGACUGAAACCUCUACACACUGUGAGCCAAUUUACCCUUUCCUCCCUUCGCUUGUGAGCGUUGGGCAUUUCCUCAGCAAUGAGAGAAAAGUAAGGAAGACCCGUCCUGACGCCGGAGUUUUCCGUGAAAACACAGUCUUGAGCUGGGUGUGGUCAUGCACACCUCUAAAGGAAACUGAGGCAGGAGGAUCACACACUUGAGCUCCGCUUGGGCAGUUUAGGGACUUAGUGAGACCCUGACUCAAAAUACGGCAUGAAAAAGCCCUGGGCAUGGAGCUCAGUGCAAGGGCCCUGGGUUCGGCCCCUGGUAAUGAAAAAGAAAGUGUUUUGAGCAGGCUCAGG
ensembl:lncRNA